rnacentral:lncRNA from 1 species
GGGUUUUGUGGCCUGCCCAACGCCAGGCUAGUGGAGCCGGAGGCUGGCGCCGCCGAGGCCGCCGCGGCCGGGGUGUGGGGAGUGCACCGCGCACGCGCGCCCGUGGGGUCGCCGGCUCCCCGCGCCCGGGCUCCGAGCGGCCGGAACCCUCGCGCCCCGCCCUGCCCGGAGCCACCCGGAGCCGCUGAGUCCCGGACCCGCUCCGCUGGCCGGGCGGGGCUAUUUUUUUCGGCCCGUGUUCUUUCAGCGGCCGGGAAGGAACAUUCUUGGCUUUCCCCGCCUGGCUGCGCCUGUUCCCGCUCCUCCCCCGCCGCGUGUUUUCCGCCCCAGUAAAGAUCGUGCCACACAAAUAAGCCUCGAAUGCCCUUUGCCAAGCGGGCGGGAGGGCACGAGUGCAGAGCCUGAGCGGGCCAUUUUCAGGGCGCGUCUCCGGAGCCGCUAAAAGUCUUGUUUUCUCCCCAAGUGGAAGGUAUAGGGGGCGGGGGCGGCGUGGGGCCGCUUCCAACUGCUACACACGCUCGAAUAGUUGUCAGUAAAAUCAAACUGACGUCAGCCCGGGGGAAAAAGGUCUCUUUUGUUCUCCUGUUCUUCCCCCUCUCCUCCCUUGCGAUCAAAGGCAAAAAACAUUUUUUUGGAGGUGGGGGAAAAGACAAAAAGGAAAAAAAAAUUGCAACGCAAAGAGAUAGCUUCCAUUAGAGCUCCUGCCCGGGCGACGGGAAUGUUUAAUGAAUGCAUCAAGUCUUUUGAUCACCCUCGCCCGGCUGGGUUCAGUAGUGCCGGAAGGUUAGUUGCAUAUCCUGUGGCUGAUCUGAAAUUCGAUCAGCAGAGGGGGCAAAGAAAAGAAAAGCAUUUUAAUGGGAAUCAAUAGAGGAUCAUAGGUCCUGGAAGGAAAUACGUGUUGAUUAAAAAUGCCAGAAGAUUAAAAAAAUGUUCACGACUGGUUAAAAAAUAAGGAGGAAAGGAAAAAGCAAGGGAGGGAGAGGGAAGAGAAGAGAGGAGGAUAGGGGGAGGAGGAGGGAAAAAAACCUCUUAGCAAUCUAUUUUCUGUGUGUGUUGCUGCCAGAGAGGCAGUCAGCAGACCAACAGUUUGUGUAAUGCUUCAAGCUACAGCGGGCAAAUUUAAAGCUGUAUGCUCAGAACAACAUAAUAAAUACUUAUUGAAAAUGCAUUUCUAUUUCUAAGCGGGGUUCACUCAUGCAUUAUACAAAACACCUAGGGCUGCAGUAGCGAGACACAGGGGACAAAUAUGGUGUACUGUGACUCAGGUUCUUAAAACUUGAGCUUUUAGCAGUUGAGAGUAAGAACAUACUUUUUUAAAGUUAAAAAAACAACAACUAGCAGCUUUGAAAGAUACCAAAGACUUAAAUUGCCCGAAACUUUACAUUAAGUCGUAACUUAAAAAAUAGUCUGAUAACUGAGGAUGAGGAGAGAGUGGGAGGGGAGUUAACCACGGUAGAUAGCAUAUUGACUGGGUUACAGAGUGGAAAAUUAUUGCCCUGUAGGUAGGCAAAGUGAUCAACAGUGUGAUAAAAUGGUUGAAGGUUUUAUGAAUAUCCAUCUACUACAGUAGGAAAGGAAAGGCGGCUUUUAAAAACCCACUCUGACACAAAAACACAGCUAUACAUCCUAUUUCUAUGGCUUUUUGGAAAAGAAUCAAUAGCGUUUACAUUUUUACACAUUAAACAAAGAAAGUUCCUUCAGUAUUGUGAAGACAUCCAGAAGGCAAUGAGAUCUCCCAUCCAGGAGAUCUUCAGUCAUGCUGUCCAGUGGAUCCUCCUCGAGUCUGAGCUGCAGCUGAGGUGAUGUUAAAUGACUUCCAAUACUGGCUUCUAAGAGUCUUGCUGUCUCUUGGAAUGAUGGCUCUUGGGACACUCCCUCCCAGGACCCAGCUGUAAUCUUCAAGAAUGAAUUGUGUGUAGGCCAUGUUGUUUCUCCUCUGUGAUGCUUGCUUGCCAUCCCUGCCUUGGAGCCAGCCCAUUAUGGACUGAAACCUCUACAAACUAGCUGGGUCUUCUGGCUUGGACCCGGCUUGGAGAGGAUCCCAGGAAAAAGCACAGAGUGAGUCGAAGCACUGGCCAGAUGGCGACCCUGUGAGCUCUCUGAUUCUCCUUUCUUUAUCUGUAAAAUGAGGGGCUCCCGUCCCCCAUAGCACUGCAAAUCUCUCUCGCUCUUUUUUUUUUUGGUACUGGGGAGUGAACUUGGGACCUUGUGCUUGCGAGGCAGGCAGCAGAACCACUGAGCUAAAUUCCCAGCCCUAGCACUGCAAGCCUCAAACUUCACCUUUGGAUCCAAUCCCAUUCUUUUCAAUAAUGUCACCUUUGCUUACUUUUAUAAACACAUAGGAGCAAGUGAUACUUGCUUACUAACUUAAUUAAAAAAAACAAAACAAAAAAAGAACCAUCUCGGUCUCUACAGGUUCUGAAAAACAGCCUUCCAGACCCUGAACACCCCAAGGCGGGGCUUGUGUGCCCAAGCGGCUGGAGUCCCUGGCCUUGGAAGGGUCAGGUAGAACUGCUCUGCGGCGCCCUCUGGUGGCCACUCUCCGGCGUGGUCAUCGUGCACUGAGGGUUCUCCUUGGGCAUGGUGAGGGAGGACAUAUCUGAGGAAGAGAAUUAUUCUGAAAAAUGUGUAUCUGGUAUUUCAAAUGGAGACAUGGAAAAUGACAUCUUUCUAUUCUGGAAGUAGCUCUAUUAGUGUCCAGUGAUGAAGAUGCCAGAAAAAAGUGGCCCAUUCAUUAUAUUUAUGUUGUAUGAUAUUGUACCUCAGAGGGUGAAGUCAAUGAGAAGAAUAAGUAAUUGAAACAAGCAUUUUCCUUCCCUUGGCAGAAAUUCAGUCAUUAGCAAUAUACCUAUUUUACAAGGGGCGAUUAGAUAAAUUAGAGAUUAAAGAAAGUGGAACAGAUGUUUUUCCUGUGAUAAGCAUUAUUCUAUUAAAAAAAACUCCAGAGAGUUAGAAUCUGAGCAGGAAACAUGAAUGCACACUUUUUUUUUGGGUGCUUUUACACCAAAGAAAUAGGCAGGAAGGCAAAGAAAUAGAAGGGAGAGAAAGCUGACCGGCAGUGUCAUCCCUGGACAUCGCGGUGACCCACAGUGACAUAACUAGCAGCAGUCCCUUCCGGCCGUGUUGGGAGCAAGCUGGCUUCCUGUGCACUCUGCUCCAGGUGCUUCUUGGACCUCACCUUUAAUCCCUUCAGGAGCAGAAUAGAGGCAGCCAUUGUUCUCUGUUUCAGAUAAGAGAGGAAGGGGAACUCCAGGGCUGAUGAUUUGAGAUGCAGGCCUGGUUCUCAAUCAGCUUGCAGUGUCGCCUGGUAGCUUGUUAGAAAUGCAGAUUCUUGGCCCUGCCCCAGACCUCCUGAAUCAGAAAGCUGGUUGUGGGACACAGCAAUGUGAGUCUCACCCAGCCUUGGGGGAGUCUGAUGCUGCUAAAGAUGGAGAACUGUGGAGUGCAUAGGAAUCUUCUGGGAAGCCCAAAUGACAGAAUUGCAGAUGCUUGGACCCUGGCCUCAGAGACUGGGUGGAAUUGGUCGGGUGGGGUGCAAGCGAUUCUGCUGUGCAGCCUGGUGCCAGUGUCAGAACCUCUAGGGAAAAGAAAGGCUGGUGGGACCGGAACUCAGGUAUGUCUCGUCUCCUCCUCAGUCCUCUGCUUGGACCCACCACCUGGCUGCCUCAGUAGGUCACAGCCUGCCUUUGCGGUGAAGAGAAAGAGGAAGACGUGUGCCUGACUUCACCCAGACUGCACAAGGGGCCAGUGCUUCCUCAUGGACCUGGCGUGUGUCCUCCCCCAAACCUAGGUUGGGUCCAGAAUAGUUCUGUCACCCAGUAUGGCCUCAUGACUCACCAGGACUUGGCUGCCUAUCUUCUGGGGAGAUUUUAUUUUCCUCUAAGAGAGAGCUCCAAGGAAAUGCCACAUACUAACUGUAUGCUGUCUGGUCUUUCUCCAAACUUGGCUGGGAGUGAUGCCCGAACUCUGUACUUGCUGGCUCUGUGGUGAACCCACCUGAGUGAGGCAGGGGAGUGAGGUGGAAAAGUGGGUCUCAGUGGAGUGGCUGAGGCUACAGAGGCCACUCUGCCGGUGGAGGAGGGGUCACCUUCCUUCACGGGUUGGAAACCCAACCCAAGCAGCCAGACACCUCCUAGAGAACACAUCUGAGUCCCACCCUCUCUUAAGGCUGCACUUCCCAUUCUGUCAGGUUCCCUGACCCCCAGGACUCUGGGUCACUGUCAUCUCACCCAUCAACUUGCCUGUUCCACCUGCCUGCUACUUCCAAGUCUGUUUUACUUUAUGGUUGUUUGUGGUUGUUAGGAUAGAAAGAGGCUUUCAAGAGACAAGCGAGGAAACAGUGACCCCAGAAGGAGCAAGUCCUAAGGUUCAGUAGGUACCAGGAAGGUGAAGGUUGGAUUUCUCUAGAGUCGAGAUUCCCAGAACCAGACUAGGCCCCUAACCCUCUGCUUCCUUUGGGGUCUGAAUUUUCUGGGAACUGUACUGUUGGCUGAUUCUGUGUGUCUUCAACUUUUGAUGCCUGGAAGUAGUUUACCCAGAUCAGAUGUGCCUUUUCACUAUUACAGGUGCUUCUUCAGGGUCUCCCUCCCACACAGGAAGGAACAUCCAUUUCUCUGGGGGGUCUGUGUAGACAGCAAACUGUCACUGGAGAGAACUGUUAAUAAUAAUGGCAACAAUACUGUUUAUUCAGUUGUUUGUUCAACCAUUUAUAAUUUGACAAAUGUGUAUUGCAUGUCUGCUGUGUCAGACACCAGGUCCAAUGAGUUAGUGGGUAAUUAAAGUACAAUUUACAGCAUUGUCUGAAAAUAGGUCAUUAUGAAAUCAUUGAGAAAAGCUCCCAAUCCAGGAAUGGGGACACUGGGACUGUGCUAGGAGGGCAUAAUGGGAGAGUGUUUCAGAUGACAAGGAGGGAGAGGACUGUAAGAGCAGGACAGAGGGCUGUGAGAUAUGAGGAAAUGGUAUGGAGAGGAGCCCAUAGUGCAAUAUCAUUGCGGCAGGCAGGGAGUAGGAGAGAAGAAGGCCAAAAGAGGGGCACCUUGUGCUCUAUUGUACUUUACUCUGAGAACAGAGGAGCCAUUCAAGGAGUUAGAAGAGGGGAGGGGCCACACAAACAGGCAGAGUGAAGAAUAAAUUGAACCUGCAUGCAUCCAUCAUCCAAUUUUGAUACUAAUUCAUAGCCAACUUUAUCUCUUCUCUCACUCUUCCUUCCUUCACUUAAAUUAGAGACGCUUUUUGUGAGAAAGUAGAGUUUCAGUUGAUUUGCUUUGGGAUCCACCCCAAGGGGAUUGGUAGAGCACACUUGUAGGUGUUUUUGGAUGGGUCACAGAGGCAUGGCCUCGGGGUCCAUUUCUGGUCCCUUAUUCGCUCUGCUCUAGGAUUGUUCCCCUGCUCUGCUUCCCACUCUCCAUAUGCUAAACUGCUUUGCUCUACCCUAUCCUUCUGCCAUGAUGUUCUUGCCUUGGAGCCAGCUGACUAUGGACUGAAUUCUCUCAAACCAUAAGCUAAAUUAAUCCUUUUUUCCCUUUUAAAUCGUGAGUGUUGGGUACUGUGUCCAGCAAUAGGAAAGCUAAAAAAUUCCUUGAUUUAUGAUGGGGUUACUUCUUGAUAAACUUAUUGUGGUUCAAAAUAUCAUGAGUCAAAAAUGCAUUCAGUACACCUAACCUAGCAAAUAUAAGUUGACUGAAUCUGUCCUAAAUGUGUUCAGAACACUUACAUUACCUACAUUUGGGCAAAAUCCCCCACAAAAAGCUAUUUUACAAUAAAGUGUUGAAUAUCUCAUGUAAUUUAUUGAAAACUGUACUGAAGAUGAAAAACAAAGAUUGUACAGGUACACUGUUGUGUUAUUGCAAAGUUGCACAAUUAUAAAUUUAACCAUUAUAAGUGGGGAUAUCUAUAUUUUGAAGGAAGUCUCUGAUAUUGUCACUUCUUUAAACAUUUUAAUACUUGUUUCUAAAGGAGAAGACCUUGGUAAAUAAAACAGAACCACAAUAUCAUAUCAAAAAAAAUAAGAAUUCCUAAAGAACAAACAUGUACUGAGUUCUUAAAUUUUUUCCUGAUGUUCUUAUAAUUUUUUUCACUUUGAUUGAAUCAGGAUCUAAUAAGGUCCAUAUUGGCUGUAUGUCUCUGAAGUCAUCUCUCUCUCUAUUUAUUUCUCUGUAACACAUUUGUUAAACAGGGUUUCUUUGUCCUGUAUUGCUCCUCAGAGUUUAGAUUUGCUGAUUGUAGCCUGGUGGUGUCAUUUAGCAUGUCCCUCUGUUCCCUGUAAUUAAUGUACAUGGCAGGGACGAAGAUAGGUGGAUAAAAUUCAGGGUUGAUUUUUUUUUUUUUUGGAUACAUAAACCUCAUAGGUAGAUCUUGGUUCAUAGCACUCUAGAGUCAGUAAUUUUCUUGGUGCCCUUGGGGCAAAAGAAUACCUAAUUUGAUUAGUCAUAUUCAAACAAUUUAAUAAGUACUUAAAUUCAAACAACUAAGUGGCCUUUUGAAAACUAAUGUAUCUAAAUUAAGUAAAAAAUGUUUUUAUUGCAUCACUAAAUAAUCGCAAUUGUUAGUUGUGCACUGAAUUACUUCUCAAACUUUGGAAGCAUAUUGAACACCAUUGUCACAAUUUGCUCUUUUGUCUUGAUCUUUGUGAGCUACCUACUCUCUCCCUGCCCAUGGCAGUGCCAUUCUACUUUCUGUGCCUAAGUAUUUGUCUGCUCCAAGUACUUAAUGUAAACAGGAUGACAUAUUUGUCUCUUUGUACAUGGCUUUUCUUUUUCACUUGAGAUGUUUUCAAGUUCAGGCAUGUUGCAGUAUGUAUUAGCACUUCAUACCUCUUUAUGGCAGAAUAAUACUCCAUUGUGUGGACAUACCACAUUGUGUGUAUCUAUUCAUCUGUCAAUGGACGUUUCAGUUGCUUCUACCAUUGGGCUACUGUGAAUCACGCUGCUGUGAACACUGAUGUACAAGCAGCUGUUUGAGUUCUUCUCUUCAGUGCUUUUGGAUAUUUAAGAAAGUACUUAUAUACCCAAGUCUGGGAAACCCAGCUUCACAGACACAUGACAUCACUGAAAUGGAUGUCACUUGCUCUAAUGGGGAGAGUCAGGAUGGCCCUGAGCUUGCAGUUUGGACAGUACUGGAAGAUUCUUUUUUUCCUUCAACAACUUAAAAUCCUCUGCACGUUCAGGUGCCUCACCUAUGAUUCCACCUGGAAAUCUCGGUUAUAUUUGAAGAGACACCUGACUUAGGGAGGGAUGAAGAGCUGGUGGCUCAGCAGGGGCCACAGUGACAGUCCAGGAAGGAUAUAGUGGUGCCCAGAGCUAAGGCAGUGAAAGGGAGAGAGGGAUUGAGUGAUGUCAAUGUUUUAUGAGCCAGAAGACCUGUCCAGAGGUGCCCAGGCCUGGCAUCAGCAGGAAAGCGGGGCAUGGCGGCUGACUAUGGUGUCUGUGUAUCAGGGAGUCAACCCAUCCCACAUGCUGAGGCUAGUACCUAGGUGUCUUUCUGUCCCCAACUCUGAUCACUUCUUGACUGCAGCUUGAUUCCUUUUUAUCAGCCAAGUGAGGUGGCACAUGCCUGUGAUCCUAGAACUCUGGGAGGCUGAGCAGGAGAAUCACAAGUUCAUGCCCAGCCUGGGAAACAUAAUGAUUUCACAAGACCCUUUCUUAAAAUAAAACAGAAGAAAGGCUGAGGAUGUAGCUCACUGUGAAGGCCCUGGUUCAAUCCCCAGUACCACACACACACAAAAUCCUUUUUGUGGCUUUAGGAGACUGGACAGUUGCACAUACCUUGCAAAUGAGCCCAUUUUUGCUUUUGCUUUGCUUUUGUUUGGCUCUGCUGCCUGGAAAAUGUCAAGUAUCAUCAGUAUCGCAGAAGUAACUUCAAUUUGGGGGUGGAAUCCUGAUUUUUUUUUUAGAAUGUUCUUGCUUACCAGUUUGAUAAAGUGAAAAUUUCUUUUAUUGCUACAGAUUUGAUGAAAAAAAAGAUCAAGUGUUUUAUCUAAUUUUCAGCAGAUAACCGAAAAUUGCCUAGAUGAUGGGUAGACAGGAAACACUUAAGCCAACAUUCCUCUUUUAUUCUGAGGGUUGUGUAAAACUGUCACUUGCCUCUGAUGACACUGUUAAAAUUGAUCACAUGACCGCAGAAAUGCUGUGAUUGAACCCAAGUGUUAAUCCUGCAUGAUGGGAUCAGUCCCCUGCUUGUGUCAUGUGUUGCUUUAUCCCAAAGUCACACUUCAAAAGCAGCACUGGCUUGUGUUGUGUGAAGGGACCUCUCCAGUAGGGAGAUACCAAGCCCAGCCUUGUGAGUGGUGGGAACCCUGCCCCUCCCUCCCUGUCUGUGGAGUGGGCACAGUGAUGCCCACAUGGCCUCCUUCGCUGGGCAGUUGUGGGUCUCAGGAAGAUCAUCUUAUGUGUAUGGGAGUUUGCAGAGCAUCAAGAGCAUUAGGCAGCAUCCUCAGUCAGGAAUCCAUGGCUGGGUGCACCCUGGGAGCUAUAGGAAAUCAGAGAAUUGGGACUCAGAUGACCAGGUCUCCCUGGGCAGCAGUCUGUGACAUGGUGUUCCCAGCGGCUCAGCUCCCUGAGCCCCUCACCCCUCCUGGUGUGAGGAGAGUUAGAGUUGGUGCUAAUAGUGUUUAUUUUAGAGUAAACACAUCCCUAUACUUCAUCAUGCUACAAAGAGAGGCUUUUAGGUUGGACUAUUCCACAAAUAUUUAUAGAGCACCUCCUAGGAGCAAGGCAUUGUUCCACUUUCUGCCAACACUAGGAGAACAAAUAGAUAUUGUUCCUGCUCAGAUGGGGCCUAUAGUGAAGGAGAGAAGGACAUAAAAAAGCAACAGCAACAGCAGAUAACCCCCACACCAAUAAAUAUGUGACUCAGAGCUGUGACAAACGCCGUGAGGGAGAAACGCGGAGUGUGAGGUGAGAUUCUAACAGGAAAAGAGGGGCUGCUUCUCUCUUCUUGGAGGAAGAAAUGGCUUUCGGGCUGAGGCCUAGCCCAGAAGGGGAGGCAGAGGCUUCUGGCAAAAGGAAUAUCUCUGUGAAGGCAGGACUGAAGGGCAGUGUAGAUGAUGAUGAACCAGAAGAGUCAGUCUGGGUGAGGUGCAGAGGACAGGCCACAGUGGCCACAGUAGACAUGGGAACCAGCUAGGAGGCUACAGCUGUCCCCAGGGAGGAGGUGGCUGUAAGUGGAGGGGCAGGGUUGGGAGAGUCUGGGCCUGCUAGACAUACAGGUGAAGGAAUGGGAGGUGUGAGGCCUUAUGACAUUGCCAGGUUUCUGCUACAUGCAGCUCAGUGUAGGAGGUCCCACUGACUGAGGGGACAUGAGCGUCCAGGGCAUUGUGUCAGUCGGCUUUCUGUCUCUGUUACAAAAUACCUGAGAAUAACCACUUAAAGGAGGAAACGUUUGUUUUGGCUCACAGUUUCAGAGGUUUCAGUCCCAAUAGCACUAUCAGCAGUGGGGCAGGUCUUCAGCACAAGAGCUUAUGGAUAACAUUUAAGAUAUAGACCAUAACAGGGACUGUACGAGUUUCCUAAGAUGCUUCUAGUUUGGAAUCUAGAAAUCUGAAACCAGGGCAUAGCAUCAUCACUUCAGUGUCUGCCUCUAUCUUCAGUGGGUUUCUGUGUCUCUCCUGGUCCUACGAGAUUAGAACACCAGUCCUGUUGGAUUAGAAGCCCACUGUCCUCCAUUAUGAGUCAUUUUAACCAAUUUUAUCUGCAGCAACCCUAUUUCCAAAUAAAGUCCCAUUUGCGGGGGACUCAGUUCAACCCAUAACAGGCACACUGUAACUUUUGUGGUGCACCUGGGCCUCUAGGUCAGAGUGACAAUGGAGGAGAUCCCUAAGGAAAGAAUGAAGAGGAGAAGGAGAGAAGGCCUCAAAAGUCAGGACUGAGAACCUGCAGAGGCCAAGGUACUUUUGGAGGAGGCAGAAAGUAAAGGGAAUGACAGAUGUUGCAACUUGUUUUCUUCUACAAAGUAGAAAGUUUCCUGUCUGAGACUUGUCAAGUUUUAAGAAUUCUGGAUUUCAGAGAUUGGCUGUAUAUUAAUACUGUUUGUCAUAACGAAUGCUUGAUAUAAUUCAGACUCUUGCUAUUUAGAAAUUUUUCAUUAAUCUUUUUAUAAAGUAAGCAUUCCUGUUUUGAUGAGAAGAAUUGAAGAAUCAACCACUCAAUGUGAUUUUUGAGUUCCUGAUUUCAUCUCUCAGUGGCACUCAUUGUCCGCCUCUCUCACUGGGGUGGUGCCUGGAAGAUAAUGAAGGAUACUAUUAUGCUAAACCAAUUGGUAACUGAGGUGCCAAGUGAAAUGAAAAUAGUUGUACACAGGCCAGGACUCAGUGAGCAACCUCCCAUGGUGUCUGCCCCAGGAGCAACUGCUUUUACAGAAUAAUGUUUGUUCAGAAUUUGGGUUGAGGUUGAGUGGGGUGUCAAGGCAUAGGGUGUGGGAACUGACACUUAGUCUGUGCGUUCAGUCCCUCACAUGUGCUGUCCCUGGGGUAGGUGAUAGGAGUCCGAUGCUGUGAAUGAGGGCUUGGAUGCACAGGAGUUUAAGGGUUUAUCCAAGUUGUGCAACAGAGCUAGGAUGUUUUUCUUCCCCAAACUUUGCCUUUAAUAUGGUUUAUUUGAAGACUGUAGAACACCUCUGCCCCCACCAGUCACAUUUAUGAGGCACAGAGGCUGACCGGGCUGUGGAACACAGCCAGAGUUUUUACUUAGCCCAGGACACGAGAAUGGGUUGGGUGUCUGGGUUUGUGUAUCAUCUGGGGGACUUUGAGAUCUUUAUCUGAAAACACCACUAAUGUGCCAGGCAUACCACUAAGCUUGCUGAAUGAAAGUCUCCUGGCUAGGAGUGUGUGGGGGAGUUAUUUUGGAAGAUAUCCCUGUGCAAUUUUGGCAUCAACCCAUUUCCCAUCGACAGUACAGUUGUUCCUUCUUAUCUGUGGUUUUCCUUUCCAUGGUGCCAGUUACCCAUGGUCAAGUGCAGAGAAAAUACUAAAGACAAAUUCCAGAAAUAAUUUGUAGGCUGGAGGUGUAACUCAGUAGCAGAGUGUUGAGGUCCUGGAUUCAAUCCCCAGCACUAUAAAAACAAACAAACAAACAACAAACAAACAAGCAGGCAAGCAAACAAGCAAACACCCCUCCCCAAUUCAUGUGUUUUAGACCAUUCACCAUUGUGUGUAGUGUGAUGAAUUCUUACAUCAUCGCUCUUCGUCCUGCCUGAAAGCUAGCUAUCAUAGUAUCAGAGGGCUACUGUUCAAGUGAUCCUUAUUUUAUGAAUUUGACUCUCAUAGCAUCACAGUGCUUAUGUUCCUUCCCCUCCCUCAAAAGCUCUGUUCCUUGGGAAACCCUUUAGUCCCAGCUGAGUUGGGACCAUUGGUCACUACAAUCUUAGCACCAAUCAGAGGUGGUUGCCUUCCCUCAAGUCACACUGCAUGGGCAAAGAGGGGCAGCUCUCUCAGAAGGCAUCCUUUCUGUGGGAUGACAAUGCUCUUGAGUCACCACUGAAGCCAAGCUUUGUAAAUUUCACCUCUCAUCUAGCUGGGUUUUCUCUGAGACCCCUGGAUACAUAUGCUCUGCAUUUGCAAAAUCAGUGACCAGAGCUAAAGUACAAAUGGUGAACAGGGAACAUGGUGGAGCUUGGAGCCUCUUGCAGAAGCAGGCCUCCCCAUUGGGUGGGCCAGCCAGGGCUUCCUCUUGUUUUAUAAGCAGACAGAGUGAGGCACUGAGCUUCUAGAGUCCAGAUUCUAACUGUAACAGGAGCUGAGGCAGGUUAAUGAUGCCCCUAGUAGAGAUUCCCUGUUCCAUGCAAAGAAAUACAGAGCUACCCACAAGCAAUCUAUGUACAGAAUUAAGCUCCUGAAAUUGUGCUAAAUUAUUUGAUUUAAAUACUGGUCUAUCUAGGGAUGAAGACCUAGGCAAAGUAGAUUCCCAUUAAUAAUGAAUGAUUUGCUGUAUUCUAAUCCUGUUAAGCAUACAGUUCCUCUGCAAAUGUAUUAGUGGCGAUGUGUGUUUGUGAAUUAAGCCCUUGGUGUAUCAGGUUUAUGAGCCUAAUUGUCUAUUCAAAAGGCUAUCACUUCAUCACCUCAUGAAAAUUAAAAAGGUCCCUUUUGUUGGAGUGUUUUGUUAAUCCUCUGAAUGACAUUUUCUCUUUCCUUCUCAUUUUCUUUUUAUUGAGCUUUAUUAUGAUUUAAAUGCAACUGAAGCAAAUCCUGCCAUUACACUGAAAUUGAUUAUUAAAAUAAUACUGAUAAUUAUACAUAGGUACUAGAAAAUAACACAUGUGGUGCGUUCACAUGGAGAUUAAACAUCCCCUCCCAUUAUACUGAAAAAGAUGCAGGGGACUAAAAAUAGGAGAACAGUAUAAUAUAUCUCUAAAAUGGGUUAAAGAUUUAGUGACUGCUCUACCUCAAGGAAGUUUGAGUGAUUUCUACUAAAAUUAUCAUCUGGAUCCAAAAAUGACAUCUAAUGAGAAGGUAUGAGCAAUUCAUCUGAAGAUAUCUUAAUAUUAGGCUCUUAAAUGGUUGAAGGACUUUCUUAUUUAGCUCCUUUAUUCAUUUUUUCCCAACUAUGUUUUUCUGUUCUUUGAAAGAAAAAAAACCCUUUUAGAUGAAAAAAUUUCAGUGCUUGUACUCUGUAGUGAAGUAGCACUCAGGGGAAAGUUUUAGCUAAAUUCUGCUUGGCUACAUUUGAACAACAAAAGAAUUCCUCUUUUUUUGGAAGUUAAAAAAUAACCUUUUCUUUUGGUAUGUGUUUAGAAAACUCAAAGGUACCUUUGUUUUUAAACUUCAACUGACUAAGGACUUAAACUUUUGUUUGAAGUAAUUUGCUUUUGAAAAAGCCAAGUUUGGGGAGGUGAGAAAGUGCAUGCUCAGCGCUCUGCCAAGCACUCUAUGCGGGUCUCCCUCUUGCUGCUAAGGAAUGUGCAGAGUCUAUGCCUGAAUGCUUGUAGCAGCAGGCAGAGGGCCCGGUGACCACCUAGACACUGAGCACAUAUAUGACACUUGAGACACUUUAGGAAGAGAUAGGGCUGGUUAGUGCCUUAUUGCUGCUGUAACAAAUUGUCAGUGGUUUAAUACACCACCAGUGUGUUAUCUCAUACCACAAUAUGGCUGGGAUCCUUUCUGGAAGUUCUGGAAAGUAGCUGUUUCCAACUCACUGCAGGAUUUGGUUCCAUGCAGUUGUUGUACUGGAGUCCAUACAUCCUCCUUGGCUGUCAGCUAGGAGCUUCUCUUGGCUCCUAGGGACCUUACUCUGGUCUCUGCAUAUGGCCCUUAUGCCUCAGAACCAGAAGGCUGAGUCCUUCUCACCCUGGGAAUCACUCUGAACUUGCCCUUCUUGUAUCUUACCUGUCUGUCUUCCUGCUACAUCCAGAGACUUCAGCUGGCAAAAGUCUAUAUCCUUACUGACAUCUGUAGAAUGUUGUUUUGCAGCAUAAUGUGACACCAGAAGUUUCUGGAAUUAGGGUAUGGACAUUUUUCUGGACUAGAGAGAAUUACUGUUUCUACCACAGCCUGCAAGAGACUCUUGUUCUAGUCUGUUAGAAUGGAGUCCUGUUUAAAGUGACAUUGUCACAGGAAGGACUUUAUAGUUACUUCUACCAUUUUCCAUGAGCGGAACUCAAGUCAUAGUUUCUACCUGCACUCAGGGAGGGGAUUCCACAAGGAUGUGGGUCAUGGGGGUCACCCUGUGGUGUGUCUACCACAGAGUGUUAGCCUGUAGCUGCUUGGUAUUAGGUUAUUGGUUGCCUCACAGUUGUUGGGCCAGGUGGCCAUUAAGGCUUGGUUACAGUGAGGGAUGGAGGAAAGGAGGGGAGGGAGGCUUUCAUCCAGUCUUUCCAGUGUAUUUUUCCCCCACUGCAGUUGAUCCCAGGUAGCUUUCUUUUGUCUGACUCUUCUGUCUCUUAUUACUAUCCACCUCCACUCACCCCUGCGUAUGGAAUCUGCUGGAAAUGUUGAGAUUUUUCCUCGGAGUUGUCUGGCAAGGUUUUCCUUUUACCUGGACAAUCUGUUAUUUCAGGCUGAGAAAACAGACCUGAGGCUUGGGUGUGGGGACGCGUUGAUGCCUGAGGUUGCUCUGGAGGACUAACAGGGCCUGAGCACAGGACUCGCUCUUGGCCCUCCCAUCUGACAGGCAAGAGCUAGGUGACUGGGGUGCUGAGGAGAUGAGAGAGGCCGCAUAGCGCCUCCUAGAGGGGAGCACCUGAGGUGGGCAUCUAAAGCCACAGAGGGACAGUGUUCUGAUUGUCCCCAGACUCGUUCUUCCUGGCUGUACUUCUCAACUCCCCCCUCUCCAUUUCUUCAAGAACCAUUUGCAAAUUGAGACAUUUCCUACUGAUAUUCCAGGCACUGACACAGAUCUCUUCUUCGCCUGUGGAAUGAGCCUGGCUUAGUUACUGGAAACUUUGCCUCUUUGUUAGGUGGGGGUUUAUCAUCACCACAGCGAGGAGAAGCACAAAAUGCCAUUAACAUGAGAGCACAAACGUGUUUCCUGGAUUUAUAUUCACCAACAAAACAUAAUUAUGUUUCUCUCCAAAAUAGUGAUACUAUUUGGUAUCUUUUCUGAAAUAGACUGCUUUGCAUUUUGUCUUAUCUAGAAAACAGCCAGUUUAGCACAGUAGUUCUCAGCAAAAAAUAUUCUGUCUCCCAUGCCAUUUACUUAGUCUAAAUGAUCUAUUUUAUUUCAGCUCACUGGGAGUUUUGGAUUGUGCCUCUGCUGUAUAUGUGUGUAUGUUUAUAGGUGGCAAUCUUUGUGAUAGGUAGGAGUCCAGAUAUUGACCCUAAAUGAAUUUUAUAACAUAUUAAAAUGUUGCCCCUAUCCAUUGUCACUUUUGUAUAGAGAAGAGAUAUUCCACAGGAGUAGCUCUCAUUUUGUGUUUCAAUUUAAAAUUCAAUUCAGUUCACAUAGUUGCAGUUUAGUAGUUCUGCAAACGUUUUUCCAUCUCAAAUAAGACAGAAAUCCACACUUCUUCCAUAUGUGGAAAAGAAAAGAGAAACACACACACUCUGUCUGUUCUGGGUGUAAGUUCUGCUAGCAUCAUGAACUUGCUAGCGAUCAAUCUCACAGGUCUAAUUUAAGCUGCAACUCAAAGAUAGAAACUGUAAAAUGUAAUAUGACUCUCCUGGCGCAAUGGUUUUUUCGGGGAGAUUAAUUCUGAGAUGUAUUUAACAAGAUUGAAGUAUCAGAGAUUUUGAUAAGUAAGAAUAAGAAUGCUAAAAGGACCCUUUAAUAAAUGAAGACAUUUCAGUGUCUUAUUUUGGUCCUCUGACAGAGCCAUUAUAUCUAAAUGUCUAAUCUCUUACCUUCAUUACUACAUCACUCUUUAGAGAGACUGUCUUAUGUUAUUUAGAAAUCCUGAACAUUAAGAUUCAAUAUUGUCCCUGUAGCUGGUCCUACAUGUUUCUGUCUCUUGCUGUAAAGACCAGGACAUGGAAGAGAAACUCGAAUGGGCCCAUGGUGACUUCUGCCCAAGAUCUCAAUGUUCCUGGAUAAACACAGUACAGAGUAUUGUGUAUGUAUUGUGCAUGUAUUUGCUGUUCAGUGUCUACUGAAAUGCAAUUGCUGGCUUAUGAGUAAAUAGCCAGUUGCCCCCUUAGCAUAGUGUGGAAUUGAUCUCGGCAAAGGGGCUCCUUGGGGUGCCCAGCUGCCCCAUGCAUGUUGCCUAAUGUCCUAGGCUCUGCAGAACUUUCAAAAAAUUAACACACUCACCAAAUAUGUUUUUCUUGCUCAUUAACUUGAUAAAGCUCACUGGUUUUUUAGAAUCACAGUAGCAAGUUAUAAAUGAUGUAUGAAAUGAAAAAUCUUUUCUCACCCAAUGAGCAGGAAGAGAGCACUGACAAUGCUUUGUCACUGCUGCUGCUGCUGUUUGCAAUGACAUCAAGUCAUGGAGUGGGCCCAGGACCAGGGAUGACCUUGGAAGGAGUCAGGGGUGACCAGGCAAUAAGUUCUCAGGCAGACCCUUGAAGUCCCGGGGAUUCCCUCUUCUCGCAUGCAUGGUGCUGGAAAGCUGUAGACAAGAUGAAAGAGUGCAGCAAGGGAGGUGGUGGCCUGCUCUCUGGGGACAGUGUGGCCUGGCUCCAGUUUGGGAGUCAGAAUGUUCCUCUUGCGCCUGUUGAUGUUUGAAGCCUUCCCUUUGCAUUUGGCUUAGCUUGUGUUACAAACUUAAUAGAUUAGCAAAUAUUUGCGUGCUCAUAUACCCCAAACUAGGCCAGCAUUGUAAGGACAAAAUAAGCACAAGCAUAGUAUGUAAACCAUAGAAACUCAGCCUUUGAUGUCAAAAUGCCUGCAUGCUAGUCACGUGACACACUACAGAAUGUACUAAAUCAACAUUUUCCCCGAGUAGAGUUAUUUUAUUUUAUUAUAUUUAUUUAUUUAUUUUUGAGGUGCUAGAAACAGAAACCAGGGCCUCAACCAUGGUGUGCAAGUGCUCACUGCUGAGCACUCCCAUGGGAGUGCACUCCCAUCCUCUUAUUUGUAUUCUUAUUGUUGCCCUUAUAUUAUCACGAUGCUUCAUACAUCAUAAUUGAAAAUAUAUUACUGCACAUUUACCUACUUUUGUAAUUAAUACUUAGUCAUUGUUUUUUAAAAAACGAGAAGACUAACAGUGAGAAAGGACAGCUUGCACUGGAUCUGUCCGAUGAGAAUGGGUCAGUAUUAACUGGACUAUUGUAUAGACCGGAGUGUCUAAACCUGGCCUGUAUCUGCUCUGUACCUAAUGUCUAUAAGGUGUGACUAAAAAAUACAGUGAAUGUUUAAAUUAAAAAAAAUAUAGUAAAAGACACACUGCCAUUAAUUGUCCUCAAAGUACUCCCCCAUGUUUCAAACACUUAUCCCAUUGUUCCUGCCACUUUCUGAAGCAGUUCUCUUUCAUGUCCUUAGUUGUGCUGCUCUGACAUCCUUAUUGUCCUGAAUCAGUUCAAAACAUUUACUUUCCCUGGUCAUUUUGAUUUUGGAGAAAAGAGUAGUCACACAGUACCAGAUCUGGUGAAUAAGGUGGAUAAGGACACACAGUACUGUUUUUAUAAGCCUGCCUUUCCCUUAGAUGACACUUGGCAGUGGCAUUCACUAUAUUUUGUUCACACCUUGUAAAGACACUCAGGACUUCCAAACUGCUUCAGAAAAUGGCAAGAAUGACGGGAUAGUGUGUUGGAAGUAAGGGGAAAUAUUUAGAAGGGGAUCAAUGACAAUUAUUUUUUACUGUAAUAAAUUAAAAAUAUUUAACUUUUACCAUAUAUUUUGAGCAUACCUCACAGACCAGAGUGCCAACUUACUGAUUUCAAAUGUGUAUGUGAGCUAGGAAGGGAUAUUAUGAUUUGAAAGUUGUGGAUGAGCAUGGACUUUUAACAGGGAGUCUGAUGAAAGAAUUUGAAUGUCUACUGGCGCCAGGCUCUGAGAAUCAACUCUAGCUGUCUUAGCUGCUCCUGGGACUGGUUGUUGUGUCCUGGGUGGGGCAGUGCUCUGACCUCAGUCAGGAUGGGAGGCUGUCUUCACUCCAUGUUUCCAUGAUUGUUAAAGUCCUCCUGAGUGACAUAGGUUUUCUUAUUUAUUUAGUGUAAUCAGAUGACAGUCACAUCAUACAGAUCUUUGGGUCUUUCUCUAAUUUUGGAUGGCUUGGCGUGACUUUGGUCUGCAGUUGUCAAUUUUAAAAUCCAACUGCAAGAGGCGGUGUUGUCUCCAAACUUGAGUGUCUCAGUUUUGUCCCUGUUACCCUCUGCUGCAUAAUAAUUGUUGUUGCACACCCUCUGUGCUGUACUAGAGUAGACAAGUUUAUAGUAUCACUUCAGAAAUCUCAAUAGGCACAAGCAGAAGGAUACUAGUGACUUGAUGAACAGUAACUAUGGGUUUUAAGUUUGGCUUUGGUAUGAGUUUAGGGUGAAUUUCUGGGAGAUUAUCUUUACUCAUUUAGUUCAGCCAUUUUAACAAUAGCCAUCUAAUGGCUCAAUGUUGCUUGAAUAUAAAUGAGUGUCUUACUGGGGGAGCACUGAACUGCCUCUAAGGUGGAAAUGACUGGGGUUAUGACUUGGUUAGUCUGACCUUUCAUCUGGCUUCACAGUUGGCAUGUAUUGCUACAUCAUUAGGAGUUUCCUGUGAUUCUGUCUUGAAUCUCAUGGAUUGGAAAGGUAGCUAAAAAAAGAUUCUGACUGUCUGUCAAGGUUGAUUUUGGUGGAGACUAUAUGUAUUUAUGUUUUCUGAUUCUUCUCAAUAUAAACGUCAAUAGAUAAAAAGCCUCCUAUGGCUUUUAUAAGCGAUGUAAACUAAAAAAUAUUAUAGUAUAUGGUAAACUUCCCAUAGAAGACACUGGCUACUCUGUAAAUACUAGGAAAACAUUAAUCUUGGAAAUUUGGUAUGGCUGUAUUUCUAGAAGAUAGAACUAACUCAUUUUUAUAGUACAUAAAUAACUUUAUUAUUAUUAACCAUUUUCUCAAUGCUUUGGAGCCAGUUCCAAGAUUAACAAAUGGCAGUCUCAAUUCGUCUAGCUGUUUAUAUAAUUACCACCUAUGAAGUAAAAUUUUUAGACAAUAAAAGAGCAGACAGUCUCUAAGAUGAAGUCACCCUAGACACCAGAGAAGACACAUGCAGCUUUGAAAUACUGUUUGCAUUAUGCCAAGGAUUACAGGAUGUUGAGUCCGCAGUAGGAAUUUGGAGGCAAAGAUAGAUACAAUAGUCUUGAUGUUAGGAGGUUAAACGCUUAAUAGAAGUGUGUGGACCUUGCUUUAAGACCGCAAGAAAAGUGGGAAUUGAACAUGACUAUAAAGGUGUAUAGAUUUGGCAGCAUGAAUAUAAGACAAAGAUGAUUUGCCUGCUACAGAAAGCUCUCAGUCUGGGCAUAGAUGUAUAACUAACAAUGUUUGCAAUGUCCAGAUGCCUCCUGCUCCCUGGAUCGGGCAGGUUUUUGGUUUUAUUUUCUCUUCAGAGAAAUUAUGAAAGAAGAUGGUUUGGUGUCUCACUCAUCAUUACAUGGAAUUUGCUCCAGAAAGCACAUUGGGUUUUUCUGUUUACAUAUCUCAACAAACUCAGCCUCUGAGGAAAUACACGGAGAGCCAGCCAGAAAGAUGUGGAAGUGAAGAGGUGAACUAUUCACUUCAAGGCAGCCUUGCCUCUUGGCCCGAAUUGACAAGAUGCUGCCUGUGUGCAUGUUGGAGUUAGUUGGAAAGUUAGCUCAGUGCAGAACGCCCUGUCAUCAAAGGGGACAUUGCCCCUUAAAUUUUGAGAGUACCAGACACACAGCCCACCUAAUAGUAAUGCUAACAGGGGAUCAGAUGCACAUGCAUAUUUAUGACACUCACCUUGUGUUUCUACAGCCUUUCUUCCAGGAACUCAAAAGCUUCAUAAAUGGUACCUCAGGGACUGUGCCAGGGAGUUGAAAGAGAUCACCUGUUUGCUCUUUGACUCAGGGCAGGUUGUGUGGAUUUUCGGAGCCUCCCAGCCCCUCCUGUUCUGCAGUCCCCGGGAGGAGAGACUCACAAACCUCCUACUGGUAGUCCAUCUAAUCAUGAAAUUCCUCCUCUUCCUUGGAAGCCUGUUGUUUUUCUCUCAGAAGAGGCUUUAAUAGCCUGAUCACAACUUAUGCCAGUGGACUGUUCUAAAUUUACCCCAGCAUUCUUUCUUAAAGCCUGCGAAGUAUCUUACUCAGCCCCGACUCUUGGGACUGUCUGGUUGAUUUCCUUGCUUUCCUCUACCCUGCAUAUGGGUGUUUAAGAAUGUGGUAUUUGGGGUCAAAUAGACAUCAGUCCAAGUGAACUUCAACUCCAGUAUAUCCUGGCUGUGAUUUGAGGCAAAUAACCUGCCUGGCCUUGUUAUGGUUUGGUUUCCUAUCUCUAAAAUGGGAAUAAUACUGUACAUGUUUUAAUCCUUGGGUUGUUAUGAGGAUUCAAUGAGAUGAUACAGACUUUGUCAAGUACAGCGUCUGGCAUAUGGAGCUGUUUCCCUGCUACAUUGCUUUAAGAUACAGAGUUCCCUAUAUUCUGAAACAGACAUGUUUUUGAGAAGCUGUGUAAGAGUGCCAGCUUGGUGAAGGCAGGGCUGGGAGGUGGGUCGUUUGUGGUUGGCAACUGUUUUGAUGGAUCUUGAUUUCUUUCCUUGUGGUCAAUGCUCAUGCCAUACUGACUGUCAGAUGUUUACAAAUGAAUGAAUUGUAAGUCUGGCUGGGAGCCAGUUAAAAGAAUAUGUAAUCACCUUGAGCACAUCCUGCUACACAUGCAAGAAACCCAUCUCAAAAAGACAAACACUGUGAUUUCACUUACAAGAGCUACAUGGAGUACUCAGAGUUAGGGACAGAAAGAAUAGUUUACCAGGGUCUGGGGCAGGGAAAUGGAGAGGCAUUGUCUAACAGGGGCAGAGUUCCAGUUUGGGAAGAUAAAAGGUUCAGGACAUAGAUGGUGGUGAUGGCUGUGUUUAAUGACCACAGAAGUGUACAUGCUUAAAAUGCUCAGUUUUGUUAUACUUUCUUUACAACAAUAACAAAAGAAUACAUGAUGAGUAAUUUUGUGAUGAGAAACUUCUUUGAUACCACAAACAAUUAGCCUUUUAGUUUCACUGUGGCGUAUUUCCUACAUAUCAGGCAAUUCAUUCAUCACAAAUAUAUUCCAUACUUGCUUUAUACUGGGUAUUUUGGGGGAUUGUAGAAGAUGGUCUCUAAGUAAUACACUGUAUGCUCCUCAGGACACAUCAUGCAGGCAGGGAAAUGACUGAGAUUGUAGAUGAGAGAGGUCUGUGAGUGGAGGCCAGGAGAAAAGGGAGGACAUUCAAGGUAGGAUAAAGGGCUGGCCCCGAGGCAAUUUGAGUCACUGGAAAGGGUGAAAUGAUUGAGUUAAAAAUUGGGACUAUUAGAGACUUACAUGGAGCCUUGAACACCAGGCAAAAAGGCUUUAGAAUUGAAUCAGCAUGGAGCCAAUUUUGAAAAGAGACAAUAAACAGCAUUCAUGAAACAUUCCUCAGUGGCAAGACCUGGUUUUCAGAGAAGGGAGCUCAGUUCGGGGUGGCUUAUGUGUUUCCCUCUCUGUGGCUGCUGCUUUCUUCAGGGCUAUGCAGCUCUUUCUACAUAGAUGGCCCUACCCUGAUGUGGAUUUCCAGCUCCCCAAGUACGUGCUGAGUAUGUCUAAAACUCUUCCCAAACCAUGCUUCCUCCCAACUUCCAAGUUUCUGUUUUGGCAACACGCUCUAGACACACACAAAAUACUAACGUUUCUUUGCCCCAUGUCUCUCCCUCAAUCUCUGUACUGUAGAUAUUAAAUCAUUUUCUUUUUUCUUUUGGAUUAAAUUUUUUUUCUUUUGACAAAGGCCUGAUGAGGUGCUCCAGUGUUAUGGAAACUAGGGAGAAUAAGAACUUAAAAGGAGCCAGUGGAUUUGGCAAUGAGGUGAUCACUGGCAGCUCUUGAAAGUGUUUUCAGUACAGUGAUAGGAGUCUCUGUGAGACCAUAAAUGGCUGCAUAGGAACUUGCUAAGUGGCCUGUGGCUGAGAGGGGUAUGGCACCUCACAUGAGUCAUUUCUGAUAGGAUGUUUUUUCUUUGCAAGGACAAAAACCUGAAAAGAAUCUUUUCAUCAAAGGUUAUCUGGCUCCACUAUAACCUUGCUUCUCUCAUUCCUCUGUGUUCCCUAGAUGGGGACAAUGGCAGGUAGACAGGAAUACUCCAUCCUCCCAACCUGUCCACAGUACAGUAGCACACACCUGAGCUUCACUGCCUCCUGGAGAAGCCUGAGCCACCUGUUGUACGAUGUGCCCUGUAAGGGCUGGCAUGAUGCAGGGGGUGGACGUGCAGAGCCAUGCAAUUUCUCUGUUCCCCAAUGCUUUUAUCCAGAUUAUUUGCCUUCUUGAAUUAAAUAAUUGAUUAACUUUGAAGCAUUAUAUGGAAUU